rnacentral:sRNA from 1 species
CGGCACCAGUCGUCCAGGGCAUGGAGCGGGGGACCCGACGUUCCACGGUGCAGGUCACCUCGGGGUGAAGCCGCCCACCGGCGGCCGGGCUCCUCGGCCCGAACCCGACAGCUCACCCCGUCGGCGUGGAGGAACCAAUGC